CCUACGGGUGGCAGCAGUCGAGGAUCUUCGGCAAUGGGCGAAAGCCUGACCGAGCGACGCCGCGUGGAUGAUGAAGGCCUUCGGGUUGUAAAAUCCUGUCGAGGGGGAUCAAGGGCAACUUGAGUGAUCCCUGGAGGAAGCACGGGCUAAGUUCGUGCCAGCAGCCGCGGUAAGACGAACCGUGCAAACGUGAUUCGGAAUCACUGGGCAUAAAGGGCGCGUAGGCGGCUUUCUAAGUCAGGGGUGAAAUCCGGCAGCUCAACUGUCGCAGUGCCUUUGGUACUGGAGAGCUCGAGGGAGGUAGGGGUCUGUGGAACGUCCGGUGGAGCGGUGAAAUGCGUUGAUAUCGGAAGGAACGCCGGUGGCGAAAGCGACGGACUGGAUCUCUUCUGACGCUGAGGCGCGAAAGCCAGGGGAGCAAACGGGAUUAGAUACCCGUGUAGUC
rnacentral:rRNA from 1 species